rnacentral:lncRNA from 1 species
GAAUGAGGCAAGACCCUUCGAGGCGAUUGGCUCACCUGACCUUCACCUCCUCGUGCACGACCCUGACAGUAGGGUCCCCAAGGGCUUUGGAACUGCGGGAUUGGGACACGUGACUUCCCUGGUCAUUCACCUUGAAGUGGACACGGGCUGGGGUGAGAGAGGGGAAACUGCCCCAUCUUCUCAUCUUAGAACCAUGCAGCGUUAAUGCUGGAAGGGACCUUGGAGUCGAUUCCAACCCCGUGAACUGGGCCAGGGAAGGAAGUGCCUUGCCCAAGGUCAUGAGAGGGCAUUUCAUCAUGUUGCCCAGGCUGAUCUCAAACUCCUGGGCUUGUGUCCGAAACUGGUGAGUGCUUGGUCUCACUGACUUCAAGAAGGAAGCCGCGGACCCUCGCAGUGAGUGUUACAGCUCUUAAGGUGGUGCAUCUGGAGUUUGUUCCUUCUGAUGUUCAGAUGUGUUCGCAGUUUCUUCCUUCUGGUGGGUUCGUGGUCUCGCUGGCUGAGGAGUGAAGCUGCAGACCUUCGCGGUGAGUGUUAUAGCUCUUAAGGCAGCGCGGCCGGAGUUGUUCAUUCCUCCCGGUGGGCUCGUGGUCUUAGUGGCUUCAGGAGUGAAGCUGCAGACCUUCGUGGUGAGUGUUACAGCUCAUAAAAGCAGUGUGGACCCAAAAAGCGAGCAGUAGCAAGAUUUAUCGCAAACAGCAAAAGAACAAAGCUGCCAUAUUGUGGAUGGGGACCUGUGCCCGUUGCCACUGCUGGCUCGGGCAGCCUGCUUUUAUUCUCUUAUCUGGCCCCACCCACAUCCUGCUGAUUGGUAGAGCCGAGUGGUCUGUUUUGACAGGGCGCUGAUUGGUGCGUUUACAAUCCCUGAGCUAGACACAAAGGUUCUCCACGUCCCCACUAGAUUAACUAGAUACAGAGUGUCGACACAAACAUUCUCCAAGGCCCCACCAGAGUAGCUGUCAAGCCUCUGAGCCCAAGCCAAGCCAUCGCAUCCCCUGUAACUUGCACAUAUACGCCCAGAUGGCCUGAAGUAACUGAAGAAUCACAAAAGAAGUGAAUAUGCCCUGCCCCAACUUAACUGAUGACAUUCCACCACAAAAGAGGUGUAAAUGGCGGGUCCUUGCCUUAAUUGAUGACAUUACCUUGUGAAAGUCCUUUUCCUGGCUCAUCCUGGCUCAAAAAGCACCCCCACUGAGCACCUUGCGACCCCCCACUCCUGCCCGCCAGAGAACAAACCCCCUUUGACUGUAAUUUUCCUUUACCUACCCAAAUCCUAUAAAACGGCCCCACCCUUAUCUCCCUUCGCUGACUCUCUUUUCGGACUCAGCCCACCUGCACCCAGGUGAUAAAAGCUUUAUUGCUCACACAAAGCCUGUUUGGUGGUCUCUUCACACGGAUGCCCAUGAAAGUAGCCAGAUACAGACUGUCGAUUGGUGCAUUCACAUACCCUGAGCUAGACACAGGGUGCUGAUUGGUGUGUUUACAAACCUUGAGCUAGAUACAGAGUGCCGAUUGGUGUAUUUACAAUCCCUGAGCUAGACAUAAAGGUUCUCCAAGGCCCCAUCAGAGUAGCUAGAUACAGAGUGUGGAUUGGUGCAUUCACAGAACCUGAGCUAGACACAGGGUGCUGAUUGGUGUAUUUACGAUCCCUGAGCUAGACAUAAAGGUUCUCCAAGUCUCCACCAGACUCAGGAGCCCAGCUGGCUUCACCCAGUGGAUUCCGCACCAGGGCUGCAGGGGUAGCUGCCUGCCAGUCCCGGUGCCGUGCGCCCGCACUUCUCAGCCCUUGCGUGGUCGAUGGGACUGGGCGCUGUGGAGCAGGGGGUGGUGCUCGUCGGGGAGGCUCGGGCCGCACAGGAGCCCAUGGAGGGGAGGCUCAGGCAUGGCGGGCUGCAGGUCCCGAGCCCUGCCCCGCGGGAAGGCUGCUAAGGCCCAGUGAGAAAUCGAGCGAGCACAGCGCCGGCGGGCUGGCACUGCUGGGGCACCCAGUACACCCUCCGCAGCCGCUGGCCCGGGUGCUAAGCCUCUCAUUGCCCGGGGCCUGGCAGGGCUGGCCCGCUGCUCCGAGUGCGGGGCCCGCCAAGCCCACGCCCACCCGGAACUCCAGCUGGCCCGCAAGCGCCGCGCGCAGCCCCGGUUCCUGCUUGAGCCUCUCCCUCCACACCUCCCUGCAAGCUGAGGGAGCCGGCUCUGGCCUUGGCCAGCCCAGAAAGGGGCUCCCACAGUGCAGCGGUGGGCUGAAGGGCUCCUCAAGUGCCACCGAAGUGGGAGCCCAGGCAGAGGAGGCGCCGAGAGCGAACGAGGGCUGUGAGGACUGCCGGCAUGCUGUCACCUCUCAGGCUCAAGCCAUCCACCCGCCUUGGCCUCCCAAAGUGCUGGGAUUACAGGUGUAAGGCACUUUCGUCAUUUCAUCCUGUCAACCAACUGGUGUGUUGUAGCCAAGGGAUGGCCUCAGAGAAGUGAAAAAACUUGUUCAAGAUCACAGAACUAGCUGGUGGCUGAGCCAGGUAGGAUUUGCAGUUAGAUCAUCUUGCCAAGCCCCUGCUGUUUCUGUGACACUACUUUCCUGUCAAGAAAGCUGUACAUCUUGAAUAACGGCUCAAUCCAGACUUCAGCCCCACAUGGGGGAGAAUAAAGACCAAACAGAGAGUGAGGGCUCAUUAUCACUGGCCAUGACACAUGGGGCUGAGCUGGACUGGAGGCUCAGAAGUCACAGUGAUCUGACAGGGGGCAGGCUCCAGAGACCCCCGUUAUUCAUCCUUCCAGCAUCCAGAAGGCUCUACCAGUUUCCUGAGGCCUCCUGAGA